GUUAUAUUAGGAUGGAUAUAAGAUCAUUUUCCAUAUUAGUGAAAACCCCCCUCAUUAUAUAUUUUAAUUUACCAUAAAUUCGAAUUUUAGGGAUAUCUCUAUAUUACCCUUAAAUAUCAUUAACCCUAUUUUUCCCCUCACUUCUCUUCACCAGCCGCAUCUCUCUCUUUUUCUCUCCCUCGCCACAUAUCUGCACCUCCGCCACGCAGCCUCUCCCCACCCCCGUCUCACGAUCUUCUAUAUUUUGUGUCAUCCAUCUUCUUCUCUCCCAAUAGCCUUUUUAUGUGCGAAUCCCAUGGUCAAGGGCAAUUAUGAAGAAUAUGACGAAGCUUCUUCUUCAAUCCAUUUCUCCGCCGUUUUUUGGGAACAACUUCCAGCGUCACAUGACUCCGAUCCGACAUCGACGACCUCUUAGCCUUCAUGACGGUGUAACAAAGGUGACGACGAGAUCCGGAUCGAAGCAAACGAGAUUAUUUAGGUUUGUCUGUCAAAUUCCUUCAUUAUUUACUCAUUUUUAUUUUGCAACUGAUUGAUUUUUUAGAUUAAUUAUUAUGAUUGUUGUUGUCUUGAUUCAAUUGUCAAAUUACAGUAUGAUUCGAUUUCUAUCAUGUCUUAUUUGUUUAAUAAUUUUGUGAUUUGAGUCUUGCGUUUGUUUAAAUAGAAAAUCAGCAAUUUGUUGAUGUUAUUACAAAUUUUGGAUAUUAUUGUGUGUUCUGAUUUGAAUUUUUAUUGAAUUGUUUUGUGUUUGUCUUUAUGUAUGAAAUAGUUGCGGACAUCGGGAUUAUUUUAUUUUAUGCAUAGCACAUUCGAUUUGUUCGUUAUAUUCGGUGGCCAUCAAAGGCGUUGAAAUCGACUAUGGGAGACCCUUCGUUUUUUUUUUGGUAAUGGUUAAUCCUCUCUACCUCCACCCUCGUCUCCAUCGUCGGAUCUGAUAACAUCGCUCUGCUCCACCGCAACCAUAAUUUUUAAAAAAAAAUCGGAGAUGUUUUUGUUGAUGGGUAUCUUUUGCAGGAAUAUAGUUGUUUUCGUUAUUCUACUAUUUUGUAUAGUUGUUGAUGGGUAUCUUUUGCAGCAAUAUAGUUUCUUUUUUUUUUUUUUUUUUUUUUGUUCUUUCGAUUUUUGGAAGCAUUCCUGGAAUCCUCGUCGGAAGACCGUCUCCACCACCACUGUAAUGGAAUAGAUUGACCUCGAGGAGGAGGUAUUGUUUGGGAGGCUGGUUUGUUGAAAUUGUGUUCGUGUUACUCAAAAAGAUAUAGUUGUUUUCGUUACGGUUGUAGUUGGUUUCAAUAAUAGUCGUUUUUGUUGGAAUUUUGGUGUAUUUUUUGGCUUUUGCUUUUGUGGAUUUCAAUAAUUUGUAGUUGAUUAAAUAUAGUUGUUUUCGUAUAGCAAUAUAGUUAUUUUUGCAC
rnacentral:lncRNA from 1 species